rnacentral:rRNA from 1 species
CGGAUCGCAGGCUGCAACCCGCCUGCGUGAAGUUGGAAUCGCUAGUAAUCGCGGAUCAGCAUGCCGCGGUGAAUACGUUCCCGGGCCUUGUACACACCGCCCGUCACACCAUGAGAGUCGGGAACACCCGAAGUCCGUAGCCUAACAGCAAUGGGGCGCGGCGAAGGUGGGUUCGAUAAUUGGGGUGAAGUCGUAACAAGGUAUC